AGAGAGAUGGCAGAGUGGUCGAAUGCGGCGGUCUUGAAAACCGUUGACCUUUGCGGGUCCGGGGGUUCGAAUCCCUCUCUCUCUGCAA
rnacentral:tRNA from 1 species